rnacentral:rRNA from 1 species
AGGACGAACGCUGGCGGCGUGCCUAAUACAUGCAAGUCGAACGGUCUUUCUAUGGAAGCUUGCUUCCACUGAGAAGAUAGUGGCGAACGGGUGAGUAACACGUGGGUAACCUGCCCAUAAGAGGGGGGAUAACAUCCGGAAACGGGUGCUAAUACCGCAUAGUUUUCUUGGUCGCAUGAUCGGGAAAGGAAAGACGGCCUUUGUGCUGUCGCUUAUGGAUGGACCCGCGGCGUAUUAGUUAGUUGGUGAGGUAACGGCUCACCAAGACGAUGAUACGUAGCCGACCUGAGAGGGUGAUCGGCCACAUUGGGACUGAGACACGGCCCAAACUCCUACGGGAGGCAGCAGUAGGGAAUCUUCCGCAAUGGACGAAAGUCUGACGGAGCAACGCCGCGUGAGUGAAGAAAAGGUUUUCGGAUCGUAAAACUCUGUUGUCAGAGAAGAACAAGUUGGAGAGUAACUGCUCCAGCCUUGACGGUAUCUGACCAGAAAGCCACGGCUAACUACGUGCCAGCCGCUGC